AUUGAACGCUGGCGGCAGGCUUAACACAUGCAAGUCGAGCGGAGAUGAGGUGCUUGCACCUUAUCUUAGCGGCGGACGGGUGAGUAAUGCUUAGGAAUCUGCCUAUUAGUGGGGGACAACAUUCCGAAAGGAAUGCUAAUACCGCAUACGUCCUACGGGAGAAAGCAGGGGAUCUUCGGACCUUGCGCUAAUAGAUGAGCCUAAGUCGGAUUAGCUAGUUGGUGGGGUAAAGGCCUACCAAGGCGACGAUCUGUAGCGGGUCUGAGAGGAUGAUACGCCACACUGGGACUGAGACACGGCCCAGACUCCUACGGGAGGCAGCAGUGGGGAAUAUUGGACAAUGGGGGAAACCCUGAUCCAGCCAUGCCGCGUGUGUGAAGAAGGCCUUAUGGUUGUAAAGCACUUUAAGCGAGGAGGAGGCUACUGAGACUAAUACUCUUGGAUAGUGGACGUUACUCGCAGAAUAAGCACCGGUUAACUCUGUGCCAGCCGCCGCGGUAACAC
rnacentral:rRNA from 1 species